rnacentral:miRNA from 1 species
GUGUGUCUCUGUAUGUGUGUGUGUGUCUGUAUGUGUGUGUCUCUGUAUGAUACAGACACAUACAUACAGAGACACACACACAUACAGACACACACAUACAGACAGA